rnacentral:rRNA from 1 species
GACGAACGCUGGCGGCGUGCUUAACACAUGCAAGUCGUACGGUAAGGCCCUUUCGGGGGUACACGAGUGGCGAACGGGUGAGUAACACGUGAGUAACCUGCCCACAACUUUGGGAUAACGCUAGGAAACUGGUGCUAAUACUGGAUAUGUGCUCCUGCUGCAUGGUUGGGGUUGGAAAGCUCCGGCGGUUGUGGAUGGACUCGCGGCCUAUCAGCUUGUUGGUGGGGUAGUGGCCUACCAAGGCGGCGACGGGUAGCCGGCCUGAGAGGGUGACCGGCCACAUUGGGACUGAGAUACGGCCCAGACUCCUACGGGAGGCAGCAGUGGGGAAUAUUGCACAAUGGGCGCAAGCCUGAUGCAGCAACGACGCGUGCGGGAUGACGGCCUUCGGGUUGGAAACCGCGUUCAGCAGGGACGAAGCUUUUUGUGACGGUACCUGCAGAAGAAGCACCGGCUAACUACGUG